UCUAAAGCUACAAAAUGUUUAACUUUUGUUUUACCUGACCAAAUUCACAUAGAAAUGUGUGUUAUAGAUCCGUCACUCACUGAAAGCAAGUCUAGGAAGCCGGUAGAUCUGUUCUAUGUGCCCUAUUUCUAUCUUUCCCGUUCUUAAGAUUUGUUUUUGCGUCUUUUACUUUCAGUUUUGUACACCAGCUUCAAAACAGACGAAAAAAUACAAUCUUCAGGGUUAUGAUAAAUAUAUUGUUUCACCGCGGUUUAGAUGGUACAAUAUACUUGCUUGUUUUGUUAUAUAAAAUGACAUUUAGGCGAACUAUUCGAAUUUUAGCAAACAGGAAAUGGCGGAGAGAUUUCUACAUAGUGCAUCUUCAACAGUAAAAUAUAACAAAAAAAGCCGAAUUGUCAACCCAAAAUUCACGACAAUCACUGAAUUAGGUUGCACUUAAAAAGAUCUUGAAUCCCCAUGUUAGAUUAAACCCCAGUAUUUAUUGAAUACACAGUUUUUAAUAAAGCACUGAAUUACAUAAAAAUAUUAUUUUCUACUGCGUGACGCUGCAAAAACAAAUCCUGGUCUGGUGUCACCAGUGGAACAUGCUAGUUUGGAUCCCUGGAGUUGCCUUGUUGGCAGUGUGUUACGGGACUGUACUAGACCCUUGACCCCUAGACAGCAGCAGAGAUAUAGAGCCAACACACAACACUCAGAGAACUAGACCCUUGACCCCUAGACAGCAGCAGAGAUAUAGAGCCAACACACAACACUCAGAGAACUAGACCCUUGACCCCUAGACAGCAGCAGAGAUAUAGAGCCAACACACAACACUCAGAGAACUAGACCCUUGACCCCUAGUCAGCAGCAGAGAUAUAGAGCCAACACACCACUCAGAGUAAGAGGUGUGGUGAUGUAACAGAGCCAACACACCACUCAGAGUAAGAGGUGUGGUGAUGUAACAGAGCCAACACACCACUCAGAGUAAGAGGUGUGGUGAUGUAACAGAGCCAACACACCACUCAGAGUAAGAGGUGUGGUGAUGUAACAGAGCCAACACACCACUCAGAGUAAGAGGUGUGGUGAUGUAACAGAGCCAACACACCACUCAGAGUAAGAGGUGUGGUGAUGUAACAGAGCCAACACACCACUCAGAGUAAGAGGUGUGGUGAUGUAACAGAGCCAACACACCACUCAGAGUAAGAGGUGUGGUGAUGUAACAGAGCCAACACACCACUCAGAGUAAGAGGUGUGGUGAUGUAAUAGAGCCAACACACCACUCAGAGUAAGAGGUGUGGUGAUGUAAUAGAGCCAACACACCACUCAGAGUAAGAGGUGUGGUGAUGUAAUAGAGCCAACACACCACUCAGAGUAAGAGGUGUGGUGAUGUAAUAGAGCCAACACACCACUCAUAGUAAGAGGUGUGGUGAUGUAAUAGAGCCAACACUGAGUGGCUGUAUUAGAGUGUCCAGUGAGGAGUCAAGCACCUCUCUGAUCAGUGUGUGUGUGUGUGUGUGUGUGUGUGUGUGUGUGUGUGUGUGUGUGUGUGUGUGUGUGUGUGUGUGUGUGUGUGUGUGUGUGUGUGUGUGUGUGUGUG